AACGAACGCUGGCGGCAGGCCUAACACAUGCAAGUCGAGCGAGGACUUCGGUCCUAGCGGCGGACGGGUGAGUAACGCGUGGGAACGUGCCCUUUGCUUCGGAAUAGCCCUGGGAAACUGGGAGUAAUACCGGAUGAGCCCUUUGGGGGUAAGAUUUAGGGGCGAAGGAUCGGCCUGCGUUGGAUUAGGUAGUUGGUGGGGUAAUGGCCUACCAAGCCGGCGAUCCAUAGCUGGUUUGGGAAGAUGAACAGCCAGACUGGGAUUGGGACACGGCCCAUACGCCAGGGAGAGGGGGGGAGGGGGAAACUAUGGCAGGGGGGGAGACCCUGAAACGGCCAGGGCGGGGGGACGGUGAAGGCGUUGGGAUUUGAAAGCUCUUGCGACGGGGAGGGAAAGACGGGAACCGGUAAAGAAGCCCCGGCUAACCUCGGG
rnacentral:rRNA from 1 species